ensembl:lncRNA
AAAAAAACUAAGGCUUGGAGAAAUUGAGCAACUUGCCUGUGAUUAAGAUUUGCAGCCCGAUGCUCAUACCCUUAUUCACACCCAGCACCAUGGGAUUGUCACACACAAUAGCAGUGGGAUUGUCACACAUAAUAGCAGUGGCUGCAAAAUCUUUUGGAUUGGUAUUAGAACUUGUGAUGUAUUUCAAGCAGGUAUGAGACUGCCUGGAGCCAUCUUUCUUCAGAAAGACUGAGCCAGCACUGGAGAUACAGAUCAGCAUGGAGAGUGAGAGAGAAAGUAACCCCUGGCAGAGAGAGAGACUGCUAAAUUUACCAUGUACUAACCACUGACUAUGCACCCAGGCUUGCAGCCCAAGGGCAAAACACUGCUGAUACCUCUCCUACUGAGUGCCUGGCAGAAGGAAUCUGAUAUUGAGACCUGGAGAGGUUUAAUUAUAACUGUGGCCUAAACUGGUGUUGGUGGAAGGAGUGCAGGGCCCAAGACAGAAGAAUGUAGAUGGAGUCUUGGGUACUGUGGUAUAGCCUCGGCUCCCCUGGUCUAGCCUCUGACCCAUGGAACACACCCAUGGAGUUAUCAGCAUUCACAACCAAUCUCAGAUCUUCUGGCCUUUCCUAAAAUGAAGUCAAUCUGUCUUUCUAGCCCUCGGCUUUCUGGGAGCUUGGCCAACCACGAUCUAUAUGCUGACUGCUAAACUCACUCUGAGCAGCUCAGAAAACUGCCAGAUCACCCUGUGUAUGUCUGAGCAAGACCUGGAGCAAGGAAGCAGGUCCUGUCCUUCUCUAUUACUACCAAUCCUAUGAGACUACCACUAUACCCAGCACACAGUAGGUAUCAAGGUACGAGCCUCCCCAGCAUAUAGUAGGUAGGAAGGUACCAACAUGCCCAGCACACAGUAGAUGUCAAGGCUAUCACUAUACACAACACACAGUAGGUAUCAAGGUACCAACAUGCCCAGCACACAGUAGGUGUCAAGUCUACCACUAUACCCAGCACACAGUAGGUAUCAAGGGCAGAUUUAUCUUGGGGAAGAUGCUGAACAGGAGGUCAUAUAGGCAGGAAGAAAAAUAUAAUCCUGGCUUGAGACAGCAUUCAACAACAUGUGACUCAUGAGAAAGUGGUGCUGGUGGUGGUGGAGAGGUGUCCUUCUCUUCAGCCAGGUAUAGAAUCACAACUCUGAGAGAGUGCUCAAAACUCUCAGCACACUUAACCCCACAGUCCAGGCAUAUAGCAGUCGGCACUCACAGGCCCUGCUCAGUUCCCCGGCAGGCAGCAAGUGCUCAGGAUUGAAGUGCUCUGAACUCCAGGCAAUCAGGGCUCUGUACUCCAGAUAGAUGGCCAUCUACACUCCAGGCAGAGCACAGGACUCCUGGAAGCUGUGUCUGAUACUCCAGGCGUGGUUCUCAAUACUCCAUUAAAUAGUGCUCAUGAAGUUAUGAAGGAGGUACAACUCAGGACUGCAGGAAAUGGCACUGGAUAUUCCACACAGACUGCUCCACAGCUCAGGAGCAUUGCUGAUUGGUAAGGAAGACACACAUAAUGGGAAUGGGUUUCUGGCCUCAGUGUGUGAGUCCAUACGCAGCUGUUAGGAGCCUGGCCAGAACAGAGAACCCCUAUCCCAACCUUGGUGGGGGCCUAGUUAGUCAAGCAGAUUUUGGAGGACAACCCUGAACAAGAACCCAGAUCUACGAUUGGGCUGCUGGGCUGGGAGAAAGGCCAUACCUGAAGACCCUAACAUUUCAGAUAAGGGAUCUUCCCUCCUUUGAGUUAUAGUGGCAUUGGUCUACAGUGAGAUGGACAGAUCCUGUUACUGUACACCUUUUGCACUGAUGAUUUUUCUUCUAGAAAUGUUCUAGGCACAUAUAAUCCUUUUUAUGCAUCAAUGAUGGAACAUUCAGUACCUUGC